GCGAGUGAAGAGGGAAUAGCCCAGCACCGAAGCCUGCGGCAGGUUUGCUGUUAGGCAAUGUGGUGUUUGGGUCGGCUCGUAGGAUUGCCACCCCACUCGAAGUCCAGCAUUGAGUAUGGUCACUGGAAUUGGCCCAAAGAGGGUGAAAGGCCCGUACGGGUGGGGGUCUCAGACAAGUAAGGCAAUUCACCAGGCCGGCCUUAGAGUCGGGUUGUUUGGGAAUGCAGCCCAAAGUGGGUGGUAAACUCCAUCCAAGGCUAAAUACAAGCACGAGUCCGAUAGCGAACAAGUACCGUGAGGGAAAGUUGAAAAGUACUUUGAAGAGAGAGUAAACAGUACGUGAAACCGCAUGCAGGUAAACGGGUGGCGUCAAGCUGCAAGCCCAGAGGAUUCAGCUGGCUAGGAUGUUGUGUAUGCGCCUGGCGCAUCUAUCAGCCGGAGUAAGAUGUUGUAGUCUACUGGUAAACGGUAGGUCUGGUCGCAAGGCUGGGCGGUGUGUACCGGGUGGAAGCCGGAGCAUGCUACACAUCUGUUGGGCUGUCUAGCUAGUGCACUUUCUCUGUGGUGUACACCACGAUCGAUGGUACUGCCAGUCUGCUGUAGUCAAGUCGUACUUGGUAGGUUCUUGUAGCCAACUGGGUGCGAUCACAGGCAAACUCGGUAGACGGCGUAGAUGUGCCUCCUCUGGCGGUGUGUCUGCGUGUUAUCGGAUACUGGUUGUCAACGGGCCUGCUGGGUUUGUGUCGUUGUAGCCGCAGCCUAGUGGUCUGGUGGACUAUGGUGGUAAGUAUAACUGUGCAGGGCAUCGGUGUUGUCGGCCUCGUAAUUAUUGCAAUUCGUAUGUACGCUACAAGUGUAUGUGGUAGUGGGGGUGGUGUUGAUGUAGUCUGCUUGUGUUGUGUCUGAUUGUCGUGUCGCCUGCGCAAAGUGGGCCCGGCAGUGGCGCAAUAUGAGAUAGGUUGCCAAUAUUGCCUUCUGUAUGAGUUGUAGUGGGCCAAAUAAUCAGUGGUGUAGUGGUAGACGAGCUACCCGACCCGUCUUGAAACACGGACCAAGGAGUUUAACAUGUAUGCAAGUCAUGGGGUCUUACGAAACCCAAAGGCGCAGUGAAAGUAAAGCUUCGACUCGUCUCGAAGUGAGGUGAGAUCCUGCCGUUUCUCACGCCGGUCUAAUCAGCAUCAGGUUAAGAGCGGCAGGCGCAUCACCGGCCCGUCCCAUGAUGUGGUCAUUGGAUGUCUGCAGUUGUUGCUGUUGCUCUUGUAGUAGUAGUGGCAGCUGUGGUGCCAGUGCAUCAUCGGGGCGGAGCAUGAGCAUACAUGUUGAGACCCGAAAGAUGGUGAACUAUGCUUGCGUAGGUUGAAGCCAGAGGAAACUCUGGUGGAGGACCGCAGCGAUUCUGACGUGCAAAUCGAUCGUCAAACGUGAGUAUAGGGGCGAAAGACUAAUCGAACCAUCUAGUAGCUGGUUCCCUCCGAAGUUUCCCU
rnacentral:rRNA from 1 species